rnacentral:lncRNA from 1 species
ACCGGCUCUCUGACCUGGACCUCGCCGUCGCUGGCCCCUGAAAUCCAUCACUUUUGUCGGCUGUUCUGUGACGCCACAACGAGGAGCCACCUGGGUACUGGGCCCUCAAGAGGAAGGACGCGGGAAACGCGUCCGGGCCAACUCUCGAGAGGGUUUCACCCCUGCCCAGUGCGGGCACUGCCCGCUCCCUUCCGCCCCCAGGCCUCGCAGGCCCCUCCGGGGAUGCUGCCCACCCCCACUUACCUUUCUAGGCUCUGCUGACCCUUCGGGAUUCGCGGCUAGCUGUGAUGUGUCCGCCAAGAUCUCUUCUCUUGUCUGUAAACAACUUCACUCUCAAGGAGGCAGCUCUGGCCUCUCAGCAGGAGCUGGGGAGGAGUGACUGAAUAACUAUAGGAUUUGGUCUUGAUGGGAGAAUCCCAGAAGCCAAAUCCACGCGGUGAAUAAGCUGCUGAUCUUCCAGAGCACACAUCCCCUAGAGAUUCUUCCCAAUGCUAAUAUGAAAGGUUACAACCAUAACCCAUCAUCAGGCCCAAAUAUAUUACUUACUGAAUAAAUACACAAGUUACAACAACACACGAGAUUCCAAAAUUAUGUCGUUUUUUAGAUGCAAAGAUAAAAAUGUUGUAAACACCAAAAUUUAACAGCUUUUCUUAUGGGGAAAAGUGGGGAGUUAGGGAUAACAGAUGAUUAUUAUUUUCUUCUCUACAUAUUGGCAGUUACCCAGUUACUACAAUUAAGCAUGUCCUAUUUUUAUAAUAAAAUGCCAGAAGCAUUUUAAAUGUUAGAAAUCUAGAAUGGUAACAUAAGUAUAUGCAAAUAAAUACUCGUUUUUUACAUUUAAAAUGUCAGAAAUUUAGCUUUCAAAUUUGUCCUAACAAUGACAGUAACCAGUGUUUACUAAGUUCUGACACUGUGUGUGGGCACUGUUUUAAGAAUUUUAUGAGUUAUCUUAUUAAAUCCUCACUAUCAUUCCUCCAUUGAACAUCUAAGGAAAGGGAGUUAUAGGGGGUUAUAAACUAAAAAUAACCUCCUAAGCCCCACCACAGCCAACUGAAUGGACCCCUCUUGGCCAAGAGGGCCCCAGAAACCUUAAAAACUGCGUUCUCAGCCAUGAUGGGAAGGGAGGUCGAACAUGCCUCACUAAUACCCUUGUGCAGUUUAGACACAACAACUAACAAGCAUUAAUGUUAAAAUAGAGAUCAUAAGACUGACAGAAUGGACGCUGUGGCAGUAAGAUACCAACUUACAAACAGGACCUAAGGCCAUGCCAGGCAUGAGUUAAGUCAUGCAUCCCUACACUUAAAAGAAUAAACUAUAUUUUAACUACCUGGA